rnacentral:rRNA from 1 species
UACGAAGGGUGCAAGCGUUAACCGGAAUUACUGGGCGUAAAGGGUGCGUAGGCGGUUGUUUAAGUCUGUCGUGAAAUCCCCGGGCUCAACCUGGGAAUGGCGAUGGAUACUGGGCAGCUAGAGUGUGUCAGAGGAUGGUGGAAUUCCCGGUGUAGCGGUGAAAUGCGUAGAGAUCGGGAGGAACAUCAGUGGCGAAGGCGGCCAUCUGGGACAACACUGACGCUGAAGCACGAAAGCGUGGGGAGCAAACAGG